UUUGUGAGACACUAGCAUUUUCAUCUUGUGCUGCACUUGCACAAGGAGCUAGCUUAAAUGCUUCCAUAUCUGGUGUAGUACCUCUUCCACAUUCACCAGCACUUUCAACACUAUGAAUACCUGCAACAAGGACUACAAAACCAACAAGGCACAGCAUCUUCAUAAGACCCUCCAUUUUUUCUUCUUCUUAAUAUAUAUCUUAGAUAAUUAA
rnacentral:lncRNA from 1 species